GACGCACACUGGCGGCAUGCUUAGCACCUGCUAAGCGGACGGAAAAGCCCUGCGUUUGUGGGGUUCUCCAGUGUCGUACACUUGAGUAACACCUGAGUAACCUGCCCUGGAUUUUGGGAUCACUUCAUGGAACUGGGGCUGCUACCGGAUAGGACCUCCUGCUGCAUGGUGGUGGUUGGCAAUUUUCGGCGGCUGGGGAUGUACUCGCGGCUUAUCAGCUUGUUGUUGGGGUAGUGGCUUACCAAGGCUUUGACGGGUAGCCGGCCUGAGCGGGUGAACGGCUACAUUGGGACUGAGAGACGGCCCAGACUCCUACGGGAGGAAGUAGUGGGGAAUAUUGCCCAAUGGGCGGAAGCCAGAUGCAGCAACGCAGGGUGCGGGAUGACGGCCUCAGGGUUGUAGACCGCUUGCGCAUGUGACGAAGCGUGAGCGCCGGUAAUCGGUAAAGACGCACCGGCUAAAUACGUG
rnacentral:rRNA from 1 species